UACGUAGGUGGCAAGCGUUGUCCGGAUUUACUGGGCGUAAAGGGCGUGCAGGCGGUUCGUUAAGUUCAGGGUGAAAGCUCCCGGCUCAACUGGGAGAGGUCUCUGGAUACUGGCGGACUUGAGGGAGGUAGAGGAGAGUGGAAUUCCCGGUGUAGUGGUGAUAUGCGUAGAUAUCGGGAGGAACACCAGUGGCGAAGGCGGCUCUCUGGGCCUUUCCUGACGCUGAGACGCGAAAGCGUGGGGAGCGAACCGG
rnacentral:rRNA from 1 species